UACCCGCAGCACAAGUGGUGGUCAUUAUUAUUGGGCCUAAAGCGUCCGUAGCUGGCCUGUUAGAUGCCUGGGUAAAUCGAUGCGCUCAACGUAUCGAACUCCGGGUAGACCGGCAGGCUUGGGACCGGGAGAGAUGUGAGCUACUCGAGGGGUAGGGGUGAAAUCCUGUAAUCCUUCGGGGAGGACCAGUGGCGAAGGCGUCACAUUAGAACGGCUCCGACAGUGAGGGACGAAGCCCUGGGGCGCAAACCGG
rnacentral:rRNA from 1 species